UUAAUUCUCUUUUGAGCUCCCUACCUCUAUGUUUAAUGAUGUUAAAAGUUGAAGGUUACAUACAAUGCUUGAACUAAAAAAAGGUAAGGUUACACUAUAAUCGUCAAAGCUUAUAAUUCAAGAUUACAUAAUAAUGAUAACGUUAUGGUUAAUAAUGUUGUAGGCAUAAUUUACUAAACAAUUAUGGAGGCCAUAGAGGGAGGGGUGCAUCAAUAGUAGAGAGAAGAGAGAGAUGUGUAAUUGUGAGGUGUGUUCUAUUCCACCCCAUUGUGCCUUUAUUUUAGUAGUAGGAUAGGUAAAAUCCUUAUCCUUUUAGGAUUACAACUCUUAAUAGGCAAUCAACUCCUAAUAGGAAUAUAAAGAGAUAUUCCUAGAUCUACUAGGAUUUACACAAUCACAUUCCUAAUCUGAUGGACUGCAACACCCCCCUUUGAGUGUGUAAAUACUUAAGCAAAUGACGCAUUAGGUCUUCAGCGAUAAAGUAAGUAUAGUUGAUGAAGUCGUCAACACAAUGAGUGAAUGCGAGUCUCAAAGCAACAGAAGAAUGCAUAAAAAGGUAAAACUCACAAAACCUUGCUAUGGUAAAACCCAAGGUGGGAGAAAACCCAUAGGCUAAGGAGAAAAGUGAGAAGUUGUAUUAAGUCAAAACUAUACGUCUUCUGGAUGUAAGUAGAAAAGCUCACAAGGGUAUGAUCAGCCCAGGAUGGGUGCCUUGUCAAAACCUAGUUAGGUAGCAAAAACCCAGUGGAAAAAAUGCUCCUAAUCAUAGGGAAAAAGAGUACAUUAAGAUCAAGUGAGUAUACUUCUGGAUACUUCCCCUGAGUUUUACAUAACUUACAAAUGAGAACUACAAGCAUUGCAUAUGAAUAGUUAGGCAUACCAAUUCCUCGAACAAGCUUCUGGAAGGUUGACUUCGGCAGUGACAUCGUGUAGAGGGAAACAAGGUUGUCUGGGAUCGGUUUGCAUGACUUCAAUCUUCUGUUGCUUUGCUGAUAUAGAUACAAUAUGUCGUGGCGUUGACUUCAUUGAUGUAUCAUGGCUGGGUCCGGUUGAUACAUACGGCAUAGUCUUCAUGGAUUGUUGUUGGGACUCAACGAUUGAUGAAAAUAACAAGUACUUUUAAUAUGCUCAACAAGAAUUCCUAACCAUGUCUCACUUGUGGAAACUUAGGUCAUAUAGUGGACCUCUAAGAUAUUGCGAUAUCCCUUAACUGUAAAGGCAUAACCAUUUGGGGAUUUGCCUUGUGCGGGUUUGAUAAGUAACCAACGUCAACAUAAUAAACAAGGCAAGCAUUAUUCCAAGGACCAAGGGGGUUGGAUCCGCUCAAGAUGUGUUGGGAUUUGCCCACCUUUAGGGUACGUCUUUAAUACCAACUCAGUGGUUGCGUGUAGGCGCAGUGUUGCAUCUUUACCAAUAG
rnacentral:lncRNA from 1 species